CCUACGGGAGGCAGCAGUGGGGAAUAUUGCACAAUGGGGGAAACCCUGAUGCAGCGACGCCGCGUGAGUGAAGAAGUAAUUCGUUAUGUAAAGCUCUAUCAGCCGGGAAGAAAAUGACGGUACCUGAGUAAGAAGCCCCGGCUAACUACGUGCCAGCAGCCGCAGGUAUACGUAGGGGGCAAGCGUUAUCCGGAUUUACUGGGUGUAAAGGGAGCGUAGACGGCAGUGCAAGUCUGGAGUGAAAGGCGGGGGCUCAAACCCCGGACUGCUCUGGAAACUGUACGGCUGGAGUGCAGGAGAGGUAAGUGGAAUGCGUGGUGUAGCGGUGAAAGGCGUAGAUAUUAGGAGGAACACCAGUGGCGAAGGCGGCGUACUGGAGUGUAACUGACGUUGAGGCUCGAAAGCGUGGGGAGCAAACAGGAUUAGAUACCCGAGUAGUC
rnacentral:rRNA from 1 species